rnacentral:rRNA from 1 species
AAUAGAUACCCUGGUAGUCCACGCUGUAAACGGUGGGUACUAGGUGUGGGGUCCAUUCCACGGGUUCCGUGCCGUAGCUAACGCUUUAGGUACCCCGCCUAGGGAGUACGGCCGCAAGGCUAAAACUCAAAGGAAUUGACGGGGCCCCGCACAAGCGGCGGAGCAUGCGGAUUAAUUCGAUGCAACGCGUAGAACCUUACCUGGGUUUGACAUGGAUCGGGAGCGCUCAGAGAUGGGUGUGCCUCUUUUGGGGUCGGUUCACAGGUGGUGCAUGGCUGUCGUCAGCUCGUGUCGUGAGAUGUUGGGUUAAGUCCCGCAACGAGCGCAACCCUUGUUCACUGUUGCCAGCACGUUAUGGUGGGGACUCAGUGGAGACCGCCGGGGUCAACUCGGAGGAAGGUGGGGAUGACGUCAAGUCAUCAUGCCCCUUAUGUCCAGGGCUUCACGCAUGCUACAAUGGCUGGUACAGAGAGUGGCGAGCCUGUGAGGGUGAGCGAAUCUCGGAAAGCCGGUCUCAGUUCGGAUUGGGGUCUGCUAACG